rnacentral:rRNA from 1 species
AUUGAACGCUGGCGGCAGGCCUAACACAUGCAAGUCGAACGGUAACAGGAAGAAGCUUGCUUCUUUGCUGACGAGUGGCGGACGGGUGAGUAAUGUCUGGGAAACUGCCUGAUGGAGGGGGAUAACUACUGGAAACGGUAGCUAAUACCGCAUAACGUCGCAAGACCAAAGAGGGGGACCUUCGGGCCUCUUGCCAUCGGAUGUGCCCAGAUGGGAUUAGCUAGUAGGUGGGGUAACGGCUCACCUAGGCGACGAUCCCUAGCUGGUCUGAGAGGAUGACCAGCCACACUGGAACUGAGACACGGUCCAGACUCCUACGGGAGGCAGCAGUGGGGAAUAUUGCACAAUGGGCGCAAGCCUGAUGCAGCCAUGCCGCGUGUAUGAAGAAGGCCUUCGGGUUGUAAAGUACUUUCAGCGGGGAGGAAGGGAGUAAAGUUAAUACCUUUGCUCAUUGACGUUACCCGCAGAAGAAGCCCCGGCUAACUCCGUG